UACGUAGGGUGCGAGCGUUGUCCGGAUUUAUUGGGCGUAAAGAGCUCGUAGGCGGUCUGUCGCGUCGAAUGUGAAAGCCCAGGGCUCAACUCUGGGUCUGCAUUCGAUACGGGCAGACUAGAGUAUGGCAGGGGAGACUGGAAUUCCUGGUGUAGCGGUGAAAUGCGCAGAUAUCAGGAGGAACACCAAUGGCGAAGGCAGCUCGCUGGGACGGUACUGACGCUGAGGCGCGAAAGCGUGGGGAGCAAACAGG
rnacentral:rRNA from 1 species